rnacentral:rRNA from 1 species
UACGUAGGGGGCAAGCGUUGUCCGGAUUUAUUGGGCGUAAAGAGCGUGUAGGCGGCCAGGUAGGUCCGUUGUGAAAACUCGAGGCUCAACCUCGAGACGUCGAUGGAAACCAUCUGGCUAGAGUCCGGAAGAGGAGAGUGGAAUUCCUGGUGUAGCGGUGAAAUGCGCAGAUAUCAGGAAGAACACCUAUGGCGAAGGCAGCUCUCUGGGACGGUACUGACGCUGAGGUACGAAAGCGUGGGGAGCAAACAGG